rnacentral:rRNA from 1 species
ACGACUCUCGGCAACGGAUAUCUCGGCUCUCGCAUCGAUGAAGAACGUAGCGAAAUGCGAUACUUGGUGUGAAUUGCAGAAUCCCGUGAACCAUCGAGUCUUUGAACGCAAGUUGCGCCCGAGGCCAUCCGGCCAAGGGCACGUCUGCCUGGGUGUCACGC